rnacentral:rRNA from 1 species
UACAGAGGGUGCGAGCGUUAAUCGGAAUUACUGGGCGUAAAGGGCGCGUAGGCGGUUACAAGAGUGUGAUGUGAAAGCCCCGGGCUUAACCUGGGAAGUGCAUCGCAAACGCUGUAACUGGAGUAUAAGAGAGGGUGGCGGAAUUUCCGGUGUAGCGGUGAAAUGCGUAGAGAUCGGAAGGAACGUCAAUGGCGAAGGCAGCCACCUGGCUUAAUACUGACGCUGAGGCGCGAAAGCGUGGGGAGCGAACAGG